UCGUAGUUAAUAACCAUAAAUGGUCUUACAAUAAAUCCAUAUUUUCGUUGACUCCAUAUUGGCAAACAACUGUAUAUCUAUAUCUAAUUAUAACAUACUAUUCCUUAAUAAUAAAUAGAGUAGUAGUGCAUAAUAAUAAAGAUACAUAUAAACCAAAAUUUGACCUUAAAUAAUAAAAUACUGUGAUACUAUAUUUUACUAGUACUUCCAGCAUAGCUGCAUUUUAUCCAUUCUAAAAUAUUCUAAGCUAAACAAUGCACACACAAAAACAGUAAAUUAUAUGUAGUAUAUAAAACAGUCAGCAAAGAAAAAACAUUACGAAAGAUACAUAUAUGUAAAAUAUAGUUAUUGUUUUGAUAUGAGAUUCGUACUAAAACUAAUCAAAUAGACCAUGCGCCGCGAAAAAUUUAACUAUUCAAAUAAGUCGCAAAUUUGAAUACAUCCAAAUAUCUUACACAUAGAGGUUUUUAUACUGCAUAUAAUUAUAGUCUACAUAUUUGUUUGCGCAGCAAUUGCUACAAUCGAAUUGGAUGUUGAAACAUAAAAUGGUGAUUUAUUUUGAGAAAAAAAUGUUCUGCAAUAAUACAACCAUAUGUGAUGAACAUAUUGUUGCAAGUUACGUAAAUGCACUUUAUAAAGUAAAUAAAAAAAACAGCAACUGUCAUUUUAAGGAUAAAGGUUAUAUUCUAUUGACAUUAAAAUCACUACAACUUUUAAUAACCACAUAAUUUUGGCCUUACAAUAAAUUAUAUCUAUAUCAUGCAUGUACAAGCAAAUGAAGCGCAUAGGUCGGGAAACAAAAAUCAAAUGCAUGGUAAUUAAGACAAAUUAUUUAUUUAAAUCUUUUUAUUGUUCACUAGCAAAUUGACAAUUUAAAUUUUAAAAAAAUAUUGAAAAGACAAAUCUUUGAAUAUCCAAAAAUGACAAAAGCCUCCAAAAGUAUAUAUUGUUAAACUUUGAUUGUUGGACGUAUCAUAGAGGAAACGUCUGUCUGUUCACAUAUAUACAUAGAUAUUGAGUUGUUGAGUUCCAUGCAAAUCAAUUGUUUUAGAAUUCGUCACAAUUCUAUACGGCCUUUAUAAACAGACAAUUCAUAUGUUAGCAUAUGAAGUCUCAAAGUUUUGAAAUAUAAUAAACUUCAAAAGAUUAAGAAAUCAAUUAAAUAAAACAAAAUCACCAGAUAAAUCAAUUUAGUUAUAAAAUUGUUAAAAAAAAACUGAGUAUCAGCUAUUUAAAAUCAAUAUUCAGUAGCGUCAAUGAAAUGCGAGGCGGGACUACUAAUAUUAUUGAAUACAUAACUAUUUGAUCAAUUUGAAUUAUUUUCAUCCAAUACAACAAAUGCAAUAUAUAAAUAAAUCUAAUCGAUUUCAUUGAGAUAUAUACUUACAUCUAUGUAUGUAUGUAUGUGCAAUUGCAAUUGUUUGAGCAAACCAAAUAUAUUUUAAUAUUUUAUUUUUGCGGAUUUGUUGUUUUUUAUUGAUAAAUAUUAAUUAACUUACUAAUUUCGUUAGCAUUGUGUUAUUAUAAAUUAUAUUUAAUUUACUCAUUCGUCGGGUAACCAACCCAUGUGCGUUGAAGUGUCUAGACUGGCAUUCUUAUUAUUUUAUAUAUUAUAGCGAUACAAACAUGCAGAUUCUUACAAAAAUUAAAUAAAAUUAAAUAUUCAUUGUAAUGAAUUUAAUAAUCAAAAAUAUUUAAAAAGUAUAAAAUUAAAAAGUAAUAUAGAAAACGCAAUUUAAUAUACAAUUGCUUUUAGGUGAACUUAUACGAAAAUAACUUAAUAUCCUUUUUCAAAAUGUUAUGAACAAAAACAUACAUAUACGAGUAUAAAUAGUUACAGAAAUGUAUACAACUUGUUGCAAUCUAUUAAAUUAGUUUGCGGUAUCUAUUUAUAUUUUAUGAAAUCCAAAAUGCUCCUAUUAUAUAGGGAAGUUUUUCAAAAAAUUCAUCUAUAUAUAACCGAAAGUAUAUAAAUUUAGCAUACAUAACGUCUUAAAAUAUUUAAACAUGCAAAUCUAAUCUUACUAAUUUGUAGAAAUAUAGAUUCUUCAAUAAAUAUGCUUGAAAGUAAGCAAUAUUAAACGAGAUAACAGUUUGCUUCUUACCAAAAUAAUUACAAACCAAACGUCUGAUAUUAUGUUUGCCAUAAUCAUUUUUUUUUGCAAUAAACACUCACAACGAAAAUAAAAUUUAACAAAUUAAAUAAUAGUAAAGAUGCCAUCUGUUCUAUAAAUAGGUUUGACUACGUCAAAUCACUUUGAUUAAUGGUCUUUUCGUUCAGAAUUUACUUAUAUGGAGUUAUAACACCAAAAUAUGUUUAAUUUUCUUCAAACAUUGUAUGCGUUGAUCCGCUGGAUUACUAUUUAAAGUCCUAUAAAAUGACGAAUAUAUUAUUUAUGAUAGUAUUUCUAUCAUAUAAAAAGAGGUAAUUUUAUUGCAAUAAUAUAAAAAACAAAAA